GAGAGAGAGAGAGAGGGAGGGAGGAAAAUUCUGCAGAAGAACAGAAAAAUAAGGAUCAACCGAUCAUGAAAAGAAGGGUAGGCUAGGAGAUGGAGAUAAACAUGGUGGACUUUGAUAAGAUCAAAUAAAUGUUAAAAAAGAGGACGAGAAAUACAAGGAAAAUUGGUAGUGAUUAUGGGAUCCACCAUUUGAAAAAUCCUUCGAGAAAAAAAGAGAGAAAAAAAAAUUAAAAAAAU
rnacentral:misc_RNA from 1 species